GACUCCGCAUGCGCACUGGAGCCUCGGAAUACAGCCAGGACUCUCCCGUCGGAAUGCGCCCCUAAGUUGGGCCAAGCCCAUUCAUUCAGGGGCUCCCGAGCCACGUAGGCGCCAUCCCUGGCCAGAGGGGUUCUGAGGAGGUGGGCAAGGGCAGACACUCUCUCCCGGUCUCAAAUUCGAAAUAGGGACUAGAAGGGAACUUCACGCGAGGCCUCGCAACUGUCGCGAGAAUCAGAACAGGAAAUCUAGGAACCGAGAACACUAAGAGCCCGCGGAUUUUAAACAGGAAAAAGAAAGGGCGGAGCAAACUCUGGCGGAUAGUUGUGAGUAAUCCCUGGUCCUUGGAAUAAGUGUCGACCUGAGACAGAAGGGGAACUGUCAGAGAGCUGCCGGAGACCCUGAAAAAGGCCAGAGACGGGGACUUGUGGGGCUGACGAAUGGAAUCACCCAAGGAGAGGUCUCUGACUCUAACAAAACACCUUGGGGACGGAGCUCCUUGGCUGGGAUACAGAGCAGACAAGUCCGGGAUCUUUUAGUGAAUUGCUGCCGGCUUCUAAGGCCUGGAGCAGAUAUUCAACAACAAACUCCACGGACCUAGAAACUCUCCACUUAUCCUACUAUUGUAGACGGUGGCUUACUUUUAGUCUUCCCUAUGCUCUAAGCUUCUGGUAGUAGGAAUCGUGCCUAACUCACUACUGUAUCUUGUGAACCUAGCCCCGCGCCUGGUGGCACGUCAAAUUCUCGGUAAAUAUUUGUGGAUUAAAUGUGAAAGACUGCCUGAGUGUUUAACCUGGAUUUUCUGAGUCGCUGAUGGAGAACAGUAGGUAGACGGGGAACCAGCGCCCUCUGGUGGGCUUGUGGUUCGUGACGAGAACAUGCUGGAACCGUGCAUCCAGGUAGGCACAAAGAUAAUAAAAGGGGAUCCGCUGUUAUUAAGUAGAGAUUUUGUUACAUUAAAACCCUACAUACCGUAAAAA
rnacentral:lncRNA from 10 species